rnacentral:rRNA from 1 species
GACGAACGCUGGCGGCGUGCUUAACACAUGCAAGUCGAACGGAAAGGCCCAGCUUGCUGGAUACUCGAGUGGCGAACGGGUGAGUAACACGUGGGUGAUCUGCCCUGCACUCUGGGAUAAGCCUGGGAAACUGGGUCUAAUACCGGAUAUGACCAACUGUCGCAUGGUGGUUGGUGGAAAGCUUUUGCGGUGUGGGAUGGGCCCGCGGCCUAUCAGCUUGUUGGUGGGGUAAUGGCCUACCAAGGCGACGACGGGUAGCCGACCUGAGAGGGUGAUCGGCCACACUGGGACUGAGACACGGCCCAGACUCCUACGGGAGGCAGCAGUGGGGAAUAUUGCACAAUGGGCGCAAGCCUGAUGCAGCGACGCCGCGUGAGGGAUGACGGCCUUCGGGUUGUAAACCUCUUUCACCAGGGACGAAGCGUGAGUGACGGUACCUGGAGAAGAAGCACCGGCCAACUACGUG